CUGCAAGUCUGCAAGAUGACGGCUCUUACACAAGGGGACCAGAGAGAGAGGGGGAGCCUUGGUUUUUUGCAUCAGGUGGCAGGAUCGCCGGCCACAAUGGAGAUCCAAAUUAAUAGAGAUGCCCCGUCUGCAAAACGGAAUAUCUACAAGGGGCCUCUCUCAGAUUCCUCCCUGGUGAGUGCUGGGAAGAAGCCGAGGCUGGAGCAGAGGAAUCUGUGGGAUUUACUGCGCCAGCAGCGCCUCUCCGUCAGCUCCAGAGAAGCAGCGUGUGUCUCUGUGAUUCCUGGACCGGGCUGGGCCAGGGCAAGAGGGAUGGGGUGAAGAGAGAGAGCAAGCACCCCCUGACAUCUUUAGCCAGAUACAGUGAGGUUCAAAGCAGCGAGCUUUGAAGAGGAGAGUACACCCCUUAACACGAUUUCCAGCCUCUGCACCCUCUUGGCUGGCGGAGGAAGGAGGGGAGGGGUGAGGCAGGAGACACAGGCUGAUGUGGACUUUAGGGCAUCCCUGGCUUAAGACUCUGUCUACAUAACUUCUGACAGAGAAAGUGACUCUCAGAGGACUUGGAAAUCAACCAGAGCUUGCUCCAGGGGUCUCCUCCCUAAUUGCCCCGAUUUGGAAGGGGUAGGGCUGCUUAAGAAAGGGUUCAUCUCUAAAGAUGGACUGAAAGUGUGCAAAAUAGAGCCGUAUGUACCAUCCUAUAAUCUGGGGUCCCCAUCCCACCCCCAGGCCACGUGUUAGGGGAAAUGUGGCUCUGAGAAGUCCAAAUGCACUGACCCCACUGACAAAGAAUCUGACUUUCUCAUGCUUCCCAGCCUUGGCCCUGCUGGGUCCUGUGCCUGGAACAGUGUUACCUACCCACGCUCCAUCCUGGCGCCCAUCAGCCCUGUCAGUGUUGGCCGGCAAGUCUCAGCUUUUACAUCAAUUCCUCGGGCAGUCUCCCCUGCUCCCCUACCCACAAACAGACAAAACCAGCUAAUUAGAUUAGGGGCCUGUUCUGAGCCCCCUGCCCUGACCUUCCUCGGAAACGCGAUCACACUGUGUUCUAGUAUCACACCUCCACCACUGACACAGUACCUGGCAGGAAGCGGGCAGGCAUUCAUCAAUAUUUUUUGAAUGAAUGAAUGAAUGAAGUUAUAAACAACAAAUAUCUUCAUGUGCAUAAUACACAUUCCCUGACAAAACAUAAGGCUAGACAGACGACAGAUAGAGACAGAUAAACAUCUGAUUGGAGUUCAUGAUCCCCCUUAGAACACGUAUUUGAAGUUUUCAUUUUACCAGCAGCCUUAACCCCAUAAAUGAUUGGUCCAAGUUACAAAUGAUAAAGUCAAGUUCUAGUUCAUGGAGAUGCUCCUCUAUAUAUUAUAAUCCAUAUGUUUAUAAUUUUCAGGUUCAUUUUACUUGAAAAAAUAUUAUGGUGCUAGCCUUGGAAUGAAUAACAUUAAUCCUAUGGAGGAUACACAUUGAAUAUAAAAGUACAGAAUUGUAAAGUGAGAAGAAGCUUGCAUGCUCAUCUGGCCCAACUCUGUUAUUUUACAGAUGAGGACACUGAAGCCCAGAGAGGUUAAGUGACUUGUCUAAGGUCACACAGCUGCCAGGUAAGAGUCAGGAAUGGAAUCGAGAUUUUUCAGAUGCUAAAUUCAGUACCUAUUCUAGCACACAAGAAAGACGAUUGGUGAUGAACAAAUUCUCUGAACACAGCAUGUUUAUACUCGGGGCCUGCUUGCAUUUGGAAAAACCACACAUGCCCAGACUUCCCAGGAUGACUCCUGUGACAGGCAUCCAGUGCCAGGUUCAGAGCACAGGGUCCAAUGGGGUGACAGAGUUAAGAGUUCUAAGGUCAAAUUACCUAGGUUCAAAUUCUAGCUGUGUGACCUCUGACAAAUCACUUAGCCUCUCUGUACGUCCUUAUCACCUGUACAAUGAGUUUAACAGUUCUCAUCCCAGAUGGUUGCUAUGAAGGUUCAAUUGUUUACUCCAUGUACAGUGGUUAGGAGAGUGUCUGACUCAUACUCAGUGCUGGUAGAUAGCAGCUUAAAUCAUCUUGGUUUAGAAGACAGCUCACCACAUCUGUAUGAAGUCACUGGUGGUUCACCUGAGUUGAGGAGAGUAGGGACGGGAAAGGGUCAUGAGAAGGCCUUCUGGGCACUGAUAAUGUUAUCUUCCCUGAUAUGGUGACUGCUUCCAUGGUUACUUACAGUCUGUAAAAAUCUAUUGAGUUGAUCCCAUAUAAUGACCAAGAACUGGGAAGGGUCUGAUUUGACUCUACUUGCAAGUUGACAAGUUGGCCUGCCAUAGCCUUGCGGAUGCUGCCAGAAGACACAAGACUCCUGGGUCAGAAGCAAAAGACUUGACUUCUCACAGCACAGCAGGCAGCAUGAACCUCAUGUUUAAGGCUGUUCCUCUUACCCAUGGGUCCCCCGGGGGCAACAGGGAGGGGCCCAGUUGGAUGCUGUGUGUGCAGUGGGUCUGUGUCAUCGUUGAAGAACCCAGCCUGUAGGGGACCCAAAGCUUUUAAAAUGGGCAGUGAGCCUGCCUCAUCUUUGCCCUGGAGAGAAAUGUUGUCUUUGUUAUAUGGGACUGGAUUUAUUAUACUGGACUGAUCUUUGCUCUGGAGGGAGACCCUAUCUCUAUCUCUAAGGUCACUCAAAGCUGGAUGCAUGUAAAGUUGAAACAUACUAGAAUGCCUAGGGAAGUCCUAAAAUGACAAAGGGACUUCCUACAGUGCAGGGAAAAACCGUGAACAUGAGCUGCACAGCAACUGCCUGUGAUUUUGCAGAAGAGAUGAGACCUCAGCUAAUGAAGGCCUGAACUGACUGAGCUAAGAGGCUGGUGGAAGUUUCCCUGAGCUUCAUAUGAAAUGGGGACUCUGAGGCACCCUAAUCCCAGUUGGCCGUUCCCCGUAGACGAGCGCCAUGGACAGAGAGCUGGUCCCGUGGGGCUCUCCCACAGCCCUGGGCAACAGGGCACCAAGAGUGGGGCAGAAAUGACUCAGCUGGACCUCCUCCCAUGCUUAUCUUCCUUAAAAAUCCAAUUUUCAAUCCUGGCUACACGUUAGAAUCAUUGGAGAAGCUUUGGAAAUACUCUCAGUUGGCCCAGGCUCUUCCAGACCAGUAAGACCAGGAACCCCUUGGGACAGGGCCUGGGCAUCACGGCUGUAAAAACCCCCACAGUGACUCUGAUGGGGACUGUAACCCUAGAGCCUCGGACAGACUCCAGCGAAGGAAGUGAAAGCCGGCGCGAACUGUAAAUGGACCAGAAUUCACCCAGGUACACCUGCUCUCCUCUCUUCCGCACCUCUGAUUCCGCUCCUAAAAACAACCAGGUUGUGAGAAGGGAGACUGGCCAGAGCACGGUUCAUUUCCUUCUAGAAAUCACCAUAUGUCUCAUCUCUCUAGAGCUCAUGUUUGGUCUCCUUUUUAGGGAACCUGAGCACAGAAAACUCCCUAGACGGAACUUGGUAGGAUCCUUGGCUGGGGUGAAAUGAAUGAGAGCGCCUAUGUUCGAUCAUUUGAGGAGCACGCUAUCUCAGUUAUCACGAAUCAUAAAGGAGCUCUGCCGCAUCAGCCUGUUGAGUGAAGGUUUCUGAGCUUGGGUCACAGCUUUCUGUAUUUACCAGCUGUGUGACCAAGUUGGGCAAGUUGCUUCGCCCCGCGAAUCCUAGUUGGUUCACCGGUAAAUGGGGGACCUUGUACAGUUCACAGAGCCAUAAGGCACAUGAAUAGAAGGUAAUUCAUGAAAAGGGCUGGACACAGUGUCCUGGGCUCACCAGUAAGCCCUCCAUAAAUACCAGCUAUUUUUACAAGGUGACUUGGUCUCAUUCAAAUGCAUGAUUCGUAGACUGGGGCUGGUCUGUGGACUAUUCAUUGCCCUCCUCAAUUAGCUAUGUAAAUUGAGAGUAAAUGUGGAGAGACUGCUACACUAAUUUGAAAAAGAAAUUAU